UAUGUACUAAAGCAUUCUAGACGAUCCAACACAUUUCACUUUUAUCAUUUGUUUUGCAGAAGGAUUUUGUUUUCCGCUACGUAGAAAAAAAUCCAACGGGCAAGCCUAAUACUUCAACUCCCGAUGAUGGUCAACCGAGUCACCGUUUGGCUUCUGAUGCUGAAACCUAUGCAGAAAAAACUUCUACAGAGGUAGAAUCUCAGCAACCGUCGACUCACUGUUUGGGCAAUGAGUUCUUGGAAGUAGAAUCUGAGUUACAAUCAAAUCACAGUUUGGUUUCUGAUACAGGAAAUUAUUUUGCUACAAAUACUUCUACCCUGGAAGAACCUCGACUACUAUCAAAUCAAAAUUUGGGCUUUGAUACGAGAAAUUAUGAAUUUGCAGAUAAUACUUCUUUAAUGGAAGUAGAACCUGGGCUACUGUCAAAUCACAAUUUGUUUCAUGAUCCUUUUGCACCAAUUACAUCUUCAAUGGUACAACCUCAACUACUAUCAAAUCGCGAUAUGGAAUUUGAUCUCAGAAAUCAUUUUGUGCCAAAUACUUCAAUGCUACUACCACAUCAAAAUUUGGAUUCUUUAAUGGUUAGU